rnacentral:sRNA from 1 species
AUAGCCUCAAUUAUUUAAUUACCAUUAUUUUGUCAUUUCAUUCGCAUUAAAAUUAUAUUUUGUUGCGAUUUUGUUUUUUUUUGUGUACAUCAUUCCUCCUACGGCUGCCUGUACUUUUUCGUACUCCUUCUCAUAAUCGAAAAAAGUACCCUCCAAUUAGUGGAUAUUUCAAACUAUUUAAAACAAUUACAUUGAACAUAAAUUUAAAGCCUUUGGGAAAGCCAUUGCAUGUCUGUGGAACAUUCGCCAGGAAAGCGAUGCGCAUCUGAGAGAAUGGAAAACAAACAUCAGCCCAGAACCAAGAACUUUCUUUGACUCUGAAACAAAGACAGAAAAAGAGCCACAAAAUUUUGUUUGCCUUAAAACAUGAUCGUUGGACUGUUGGUGUCCUCCAAGGAAAAAAAAAACGAACGCAUACAGCCAGCAAGGCAUUGACUUAAAUCAAUCGCUAACUUAAAAUCUUAAUGGUUAACAGGAAGAAGAAGUCACCUUUUGCAGUGUCCAUAUGGGAAGAGAAGAAAAUAGCCCUGUUACGUUGAACAUAAAAAUGAAUGGAAAUAUAAAACCCAACAUAAAAUGCAUGCAGAAAAGGGUAUUUUUAUUGGGCGAUACAUAUGUAUGUACAUGUUUAUGUUUAUUAA